GACGGGGUUUUGGAGACGGUGGAUGGAGGAGGGGGAGGGAAAGCUGCCAACUUUGGAUACCAACCCCGUACACCCACCGAAGGGGAUGUCCCACUUUUUCCAGCGCUGGGAGCAAAAAGAUAACAGUGAGCGAGGUUGAAAACACCUGACAGUGAAAAGAGCAAUUUGAAGAAAAACAAAAUUUAUCUUCAAUGUGAAAAGCAAUUUAUAAAAAUCCGAAUACUUGCCAGGAGCAACUUGACAAAAAAGACAAAGGUGGUAGAAGAAAUGUAACCAGCCCACAAUUCCAAUGUUGAUAACAGAUGAGCUCCCUUUCAAGGGAGUCUACUCCUAUGUAAAUCUUCUGCAGGUUGUGCAGUGGACUUCACCUAGUCUCCCAUCUCCAGCUAAUUUGGCCAAGAAUAGUCACCUGGCGCAAGGUGGGGAGGGAGCUCUCAAUUGGCCAGCAACUUCUGACGUGUGACCUGACUGAACAAUGAGAGGCUCGAGUGAAAUUACCAGCUGGUAGUAGGACAGAGGAUAUAGAUACAUGGAAUGGAGCUGAGCCAAAUUAAUGACAAAGGACUAGACAAGAAUGACUGUUGAUGAUCACCUAUGCUGAGAUCACAAAGCUGCCCCGAGUCCAGAAGCAGGUUCACUGAGGGAGGCUCAACCAUGUUACCAAUCUUGUUUGAGAUUAAUGUUCCUUGUUGUAAACCUCAAGUCUGUUUCUUGCAAUCAAACCAUUCUAAAUUGAAA
rnacentral:lncRNA from 1 species